UGCUCUUGGGGUGCCGCAAGGCUGAGAUGCUGUUUUUUCCCGAAAGGGGGACAGCGAACCCAUUGAACCUGAUCCGGUUAGUAUCGGCGUAGGGAUGGGCU
rnacentral:ncRNA from 1 species